UCCUCCUUAGCUCAGUUGGUAGAGCGACGGACUGUUAAUCCUAGGUUCGCUGGUUCGAGCCCAGCAGGAGGAGCCA
rnacentral:tRNA from 1 species